rnacentral:lncRNA from 13 species
UAGUUAAUAUGAGCAAACUCAAAUGUACUUCAGUAGGUAUAGAAAGCCAAAGGCAAAUUGCAUAAUUACAGAAAAGGGAUAUAUCUGUUAAGCAAUUUAGGGUUACAGACAACAGUUCAGUAGUAUGUGAUUUAUAUCAAUGUCUGUUUGGGUUGCAUUAAUGGAAGUUUCAUGUCAAGAGUGUUGUCAAGUGAAGUCAUAAUUUGCCUUUACCCUGGUCAUCAGUCACUACUUAGUGCAUAAUGUGUAGCUUCAAGCUCCACAUUUCAAUGGUAAUAUGAACAUAUUAUAGAAUGUUCGGAGGAGAUCUGCCAGAAAUGUACAGGGAUUCGAAUGAUAUCUCUCUUGGGAUAUUUGAAGAUUAUUAAUGAUUGCUCUCUCGGAAACCACCACAUUACAAGAAGCUGAAGACCCGAAAGAGGCCAUAUGAAGGAACUGAAGUAUCUGCUGAAUAGUCCUAGCUGCAGUACCAACUAACUCAAUCAACUAGUUGCAGCACCAGCUACCUACCAGCUGUGUGGGCUUCAGGAAAAAGAGUGGAAGUCUUCACUAGAACAAGGGAAGUAGAUGCCAGGAAAUAUCAACAGAAAUCUACUCCACAAAGCUUGUAAACUUCAGUGAAAACGGUAUCUGGUCUACUUAACUCUAUCAAGCAGGUGAGGGAGUAUAUUUAUCUACUAUCUUAAAACUAUCAUUCCUGUGGAUAUAUCCAGUCAUUUCAUUCAAAGACAUUUAAUUUUAACAAAACACUCUUAUGGUGUUUUUAUUUUUUUUAAAUAAAGUUUCUUAAUAGAUAGCCA